UAUGCCCCCUGAUGCGUUACAACUCAACUGAGUGUUGCAGCUGUGUCAUAAGGUGGCAGAGAGAGAACAGUGGUAGUCUGCACUGAGACU